rnacentral:rRNA from 1 species
ACUGCUCAGUAACACGUGGACAACCUACCCUCCGGACGGGUAUAAACCCGGGAAACUGGGUAUAAUCCCCGAUAGAUCUCGGUCGCUGGAAAGCCCCGAGAUCGAAAGCUCCGGCGCCAGAGGAUGGGUCUGCGGCCUAUCAGGUAGUAGUGGGUGUAGCGUACCUACUAGCCUACGACGGGUACGGGUUGUGAGAGCAAGAGCCCGGAGAUGGAUUCUGAGACACGAAUCCAGGCCCUACGGGGUGCCAGCAGCCGCGGUAAUACGAU